AGGCUGGCAGAGACACAGCCAGCGCAGACUGGCAUGCCCCAGGCAUCUCUGAGCGAGUAUCUCUUUGAGCACCUCACUCUCAAGCACGACUAGGAGUUCUCUGCCUUCC
rnacentral:pre_miRNA from 1 species